UACAGAGGUGGCAAGCGUUGUUCGGAAUUACUGGGCGUAAAGGGCGCGUAGGCGGUCUUUUAAGUCUUGUGUGAAAUCCCUCGGCUCAACUGAGGAACUGCACGGGAUACUGGAAGACUUGAGUUCGGGAGAGGGAAGCGGAAUUCCGGGUGUAACGGUGAAAUGCGUAGAUAUCAGGAGGAAUACCGGUGGCGAAAGCGACUCUCUGGACGGCAACUGACGCUGAGGCACGAAAGCGUGGGGAGCAAACAGG
rnacentral:rRNA from 1 species